rnacentral:rRNA from 1 species
CCCUUAGAUGUUCUGGGCAGCACGCGCGCUACAAUGGUCUUCGCAAACGGAUGCAUUCUCGAAGGAGGGUGCCAAUCUUGGAAUCUAUGCCUUGGUCGGGACAGUUGCUUGCAAUUUUUCGACUCGAACCAGGAAUUCCUUGUAAUCGUGAUUCAUCACAUCACGAUGAAUACGUCCCUGCCCUUUGUACACACCGCCCGUCGCUCCUACCGAUCGAAGAGUUAGGUGAAUUGUUUUGAUCGAUAAGAUUUGACUAUGGUCAACUCUCGUUGUGAAAUUCUGUGAAUCUGACUGUUUAGAGGAAGGAAAAGUCGUAACA